rnacentral:lncRNA from 1 species
UAAAGCUGUAACAGUUUAGCCAGUGGUCACUGAGGAAGAAUAUAAGUUAGCCUCGUAGUGACCAUGUGGAAGUCCUGACCUCGCUUGCAGACUUGACCUCUGGAUGUGACAAGAAAUGCUGAAUCAGCAAAUAGAGUGAACGAACAAUCAAGAUGAGAUGGCUGCUGUUGAUGUGAUUCUCUAGGUUACUACCUUUCUUCCUGCUGCAAAUGCUGCAUGACACUAAGCUUACAGGAUCUAGAAGCAGACUACAAAAAAAGAAGAAAUUCACUCUGAAGACUGAAGAAACACUAGGCUGAUCUUAAGUUUCCGAAAUACACUCUGUAACACUACACUGAUUCUUUGAAUCUCUUGCAAAAAGAAUCAAACCAGGACAAAGUUCAACAGAUAACUGGUCAAAUGCUUAGGAAUGUCUAUGUCCACCAAGAAUAUGGAACCAUUAAUGCCAUGCUUCAGUUACUAUCAUACUAUGAGAAAACAUCAAGAUCAGCUUUGAAAUCUAGACUCAUAUUGAUCUGCACCUUUGAAAUAGAGACUUCAAAGGACAGUCUUCAAAAAUAUAGGACAUCUAGACACUUCAUCAGGUUCUGGAAAUAACAACGUGCUAUAUCUGGUUUUCUUUUCUUUUCUUUCUUUUUUUUUUUUUUUAGAGACAGGGUCUUGCUAUGUUGCUCAGGCUGUAGUGCAGUGGCACGAUCAUACCUCACUGCAGUCUCAAACUCCUAGGCUCGAGCAAUAUUCUCGCCUCAGCCUCCCAAGUAGCUGAGACUAAAAGUCUGUGAUGCCACACCCAGCUGAUUCUUUUUUUUUUUUUUUUUGAUACAGUCUUGAUCUGUAACCCAGACUAGAGUGCAGUGGUGCAAUCUCAGCUCACUACAACCUCUGCUUCCUGGGUUCAGGUGAUUCUCAUGUCUCAGCCUCCCGAGUAGCUGGAACUACAGGUGCGCACCACUACACCCAGCUGAUUUUUGUAUUUUUAGUAGAGACAGCAUUUCACAAUGUUGGCCAGGCUGGUCUCAAACUCCUAGCCUCAAGUGAUCUGCCUGAGUUGGCCUCCCAAAGUGCUGGGAUUAUAGGCAUGAGCCACCACGCCCAGCCUAAUUUUUUAAUUUUUUAGAGACAGGGUCUUGCUACAUUGCCCAGGUUGAUCUCAAGCUCCUGGCUUCAAGCAAUCCUCCUGCCUCAGCCUCCUAAGUCGCUGGGAUUACAAAUGUAAAUCACCACACCCUGCUGGUUUUCUAUAGUAUAAAGGCCAAAAAGACUGGUUGUUAUUUUUAAUUCCGAGUACACUAAAAAUGGCACCUUCUGUCUUCUGACAUCACUGGACAGUAUAGGGGGGGAAAAAUCAACCUUAAGAAAAAGAAAUUUGAUAUGAAAAAAAGAAUUCAAAACAUCCCAAUUUGCAAUUACAACUGGUAAUAUAAGCUGUGUCAUCUGAUACUCUUCAGUGUCCAAUUAAAAUCACACUCUAUCUGGCAAUCUAUAGUCACAACUACCUAAAAAUGUCUUAAGGAAGUAGGAAUAAAGAAGGCAUGUAGCUUUAACUGAAGCACUACUUUGUUAAAGAAUAAAAGCAUUUUUUUUUAAAUGUCACCUGACACCAAAUAUCUGGUUGGAAGAGGUGCUGUUUUAAAUUUUCAGGGGAACCCUCAAGAUUUAUGCAAGAAUUGAAAAAAAUAAAAGUAAAUUUUCUCUUCCUUGUAUAGGCUUAGCAUUAUUGAAUAUACUAUGCCUACUCUCAAUAAAAAUGAAACAACUCAAAAUAUUUAAAAGAUACUUGUUUCCUAAGCACUUCAAUUCUCAGUUUAUACUAAACUUUAUGAUUUCAUAUUCCCUCAAUAAAUCCUAAAUUCUCUCAAUAAAAUCUUUUUGACCAUUGUAAUCUGAAGUAAUUGCUGUUUGAAUUCCUAACACAGUUUCUCUACAGAAUUCAUUUUGUAAUUGAUCAUAUAACAUCUUGUGAUAUUUAACAGUGUGCUCACUGUCAAAGUAAGACUAACAUUUAUUGAGUGCCUUGUAUAGCCAGAGCAUAUGUAGGAUGAACAGAUGAAUAUGAAUGCCCACAAUGUAAAGAGAAAGACAGAAGUGCACAUAGUAAUAAACAGCACUAAGCAGAGUAUAUAGUAAGUAUAAUAAAUAAGAACACAGAGGAAGGGCGCGGUGGCUCACGCCUGUAAUCCCAGCACUUUGGGAGGCCGAGACAGGCGGAUCACGAGGUCAGGAGAUCGAGACCAUCCUGGCUAACGUCGUGAAACCCCGUCUCUACUAAAAAAUACAAAAAAAAUUAGCCGGGCAUGGUGGUGGGAGCCUGUAGUCCCAGCUACUCGGGAGGCUGAGGCAGGAGAAUGGCGUGAACCCAGGAGGCAGAGCUUGCAGUGAGCCGAGAU